rnacentral:rRNA from 1 species
GACGAACGCUGGCGGCGUGCCUAAUACAUGCAAGUAGAACGCUGAAGGAGGAGCUUGCUUCUCUGGAUGAGUUGCGAACGGGUGAGUAACGCGUAGGUAACCUGGCUGGUAGCGGGGGAUAACUAUUGGAAACGAUAGCUAAUACCUCAUAAGAGUAGAUGUUGCAUGACAUUUUCUUAAAAGGUGCAAUUGAAACACUACCAGAUGGACCUGCGGUGUUUUAGCUAGGUUGUGCGGGAAAGGCUCAACAAGGGGACGAGACAUAGCAGACCUGGGAGGGGGAUCUGCCACACUGUGGACGAGACACGCGCCAGACUCCCACGGGGGGCAGCAGUAGGGAAACUUUGGCAAUGGGCGGAAGUCUGACCGAGGAACGCCGGGGGAGGGAAGAAGGGUCUCGGAUCGUAAAGCUCGGUUGUAAGAGAAGAACGAGUGUGAGAGUGGAAAGUUCACACUGUGACGGUAUCUUAACAAAAAGGGACGGCUAACUACGUG